rnacentral:rRNA from 1 species
AACGAACGCUGGCGGCAUGCCUAACACAUGCAAGUCGAACGCCCUGGUUCGCCAGGGAGUGGCGCACGGGUGAGUAACGCGUGGGAACCUGCCCGGCAGUACGGGACAACCGCGGGAAACUGCGGCUGAUACCGUAUACGGCCUGAGGGCGAAAGAAUUUCGCUGUCGGAGGGGCCCGCGUCGGAUUAGGUAGUUGGUGGGGUAACGGCCUACCAAGCCUGCGAUCCGUAGCUGGUCUGAGAGGAUGAUCAGCCACACUGGGACUGAGACACGGCCCAGACUCCUACGGGAGGCAGCAGUGGGGAAUAUUGGACAAUGGGCGCAAGCCUGAUCCAGCAAUGCCGCGUGAGUGAUGAAGGCCUUAGGGUUGUAAAGCUCUUUCGCCCGCGACGAUGAUGACGGUAGCGGGAGAAGAAGCCCCGGCUAACUCCGUGCCAGCCGCCGCCGUAAAAC